CAGGUUCACGCCAUUCUCCUGCCUCAGCCUCCUGAGUAGCUGGGACUACAGGCACCCACCACCACGCCCAGCUAAUUUUUUGUAUUUUUAGUAGAGAUGGGGUUUCACCAUGUUAGCCAGGAUGGUCUCGAUCUCCUGACCUCAUGAUCCGCCUGCCUUAGCUUCCCAAAGUGCUGGGAUUACAGGUAUUAUUCCAUUUUCCUGGUAAAGGGCAUAUAAUUCCCAAACCCUUGAAAUGGAGAUAUAAUCCUAACUAAAUAAUAUAUUUAAAUAUAUACAGUCCAAACAUAAAACAGUGCUAAUUUAAAAACAAAUAUAAUUUUAAAACUAUUUCUUUGGUGUUAUGAAGUUAAAACAUUAGUUAUUUUCCCCUUAAAUUUUAAUAUUAUUUUAAAGUAUACAUUAUUGAGGUGGGGCAUCAUGGCGUACGCCUGUAAUCCCAGCAGUUUGAGAAGAUUCCUUGAGGCCAGGAAUUUGGGGCCAGCCUGGGCAACAUAGUGAGACCACAUCUCUACAAAUUCUUUGUUUUAAUUAGCUGGUCCUGGCAUGUGCUUUUAGUCUUAGCUACCUGGGAGGCUGAGGUAGGAGGAUCGCUCAAGCCCAGGAAUUCACGGUUACAGUGAGCUAUGACUGCGCCACUGCACUCCAGCCUAGGUGACAGAGGGAGACUCUGUCUCUAAUUAUUCUAGUAAAAGUACAGUCUGUUCUACUACAAUACUUGUUUUAAAAAUGCAAGUAUUGUUCUAAUGUAAUUGAUACAUUGGGGAAAAAUUUGAGCAUAAUGUGAUUUUCAUCCACAUAAAACACUAAGUAAAUGCAGAACAUUGCAUCCAGCUGAUCUGAACCACACAGGAGUAUACAAAAUACACAAGCACAUACAUCUCAAAACAUUUCUAGUGACCUCAGUUCACCGCAAAUGUUGUGAACAUCCAUCAACAUCUGGUGUUACAACUUUUCAUGGAUUUCUUAUUGCCCUUUUACGGUCACUUCACAACUCACAAACUGCAACUCUUCUGAAGCUCACUUGCACAGCAAACUCCAGGUCUUUUAAGAGGUAAAAUGUCAUACUUAUUGUAGUAUUUAUGCAUUUUUUUAACCAAUUAACGUGUAAAACUGUGCUACUGUUUCUAUUAGGUUCCUAUCUUUUUUUUUUUUUUUUU
rnacentral:lncRNA from 1 species